GACACCAUCCGCGCACAUUUCGUGAACCGGGCCAACAACAAUCAGUAUCACCCGCGAGGUCUCUGGGUCACUGUCCACCUUCCCUCUCACUCCACGGGAAAGAAAUGAACAUCUACGCCGAACUCCUCCUCCUCUUCUCGGUCGGCAUGGCGCCCACCGUCAUGGCUGUGGUGUUUCUCGUUUACAAGACCGCGCUACAUGAGGGAUCGAUCGCGUUAGCGUUACUCUUCGUGACCUGUGGAUGUUCCUUCUUAGCUCUGGCGAUCAAAUUUCGGCGAGACCGUCACGCCGGGCGAGAGGACCCAGAAGAGCCGGAAGACGUCCACUCCCCGUACGAGAUCAUCUCCCCCGGGGGGGAGCCUCCCAAAUACGAGCAACUGUACCCCUGCAAGAGUGCCUUAUCGCCCCCUGGUACCCUCCAUACUUCACCUCUCACUACGUCGUCACCGCAGAUCGAACCGACGCUAUACGUCAACCCGUGCAGCGAGUUCGCCUUCAGCCCGUCCUCUUCCUGCCACAGGCAAGAUAUCGCAGACCAAAAUGAAGAGGACGGUCUACCAUCCUAUUCAGAGGCCAUUGCCACCAUGAAGCUGAAGCAGAGCGAGCCCUGAAAGCGGCACUCCGAACCAUGAUGAAAUUCAACGUCAAACAAAAAUCGGGCUAAAAAAAAGGGGGGAAAAAUAUGAAAAAAAAUGUAUGAUUUCUUAUUUCGGCGAACACUAUCAACAAUGAAGGUUGAACGGAGUGUUCCUGCAUAUAUCGUCGACGCAAUGAGCUGUUGACAGCACACCGAGCAGGGAAGAUCAUUCGCUUGACCGCGUUUCUUCCCAGAAUACGUUUGGUUUCUUAGCUUGGCGAGGCAUUAUAAACGUUUGUUUGUUUGUUUGUAUAGGGUGUUUUUCCGUUGCAUGGAACCAGUGGUUCUUCAGCAACGGGACCAACGUUUUUACGUGACUUCCGAACCACGUCGAGAGUGAACUUCUAUCACCAGAAAUACACAUCUCUCACACCUCGAUGGAAUGCCCGAGAAUUGAAUUCGCGGCCACCGAGGUGGCAGGCCAAGGCAUUAUAAACGGGGCCGUUUCUUGCCCUUAACCUCAUCUCUUCUCUUCGGCGAAGGAAGGAGCUUCCGAUGACAUUCCGAGCCACGCAUGUUGUCUUGUGUGUGUCAGGUUGUGAACCAUCAUCAUCAAAGGGAAAUAUUUGUUCGUCUGGAUACAAGAUUCAAACUGUUUUGCUUUAAGACUCCUACAGUCGCUUCGGGUUCUUGACCACCCAACGGGAACCCUUUUUUUUUAUCGAAAUUAGACGGCAAUCGCAAAAUACUGUACGUACACUCUUUCGUCAAAGCGACACAGAAUACAAAUAAUUAUUUGUGAUAUGCUGGGCGCCUAGGACAACAGUCUAGGACAACAGGCUACAUUUCAUACAAAGGGAGAACUUAAGUCUACAGGACAUUUUCGAAUUUAGGUGGAAAUUUUAAAAACCUGGGUUAAUACGUUUUUCUAAAUAUGACAUAAAUCUUCUGUUUAACGUAAAUCAGUUACAUUUGCGCAAAAAUAACUGCGUAUAUCUAGCAGUUUUAAUGAAGGUUAUUCUCUCUCUCUCUCUCUCUCUCUCUCUCUCUCUCUCUCUCUCUCUCUCUCUCUCUCUC